CCUACGGGAGGCAGCAGUGGGGAAUAUUGCACAAUGGGGGAAACCCUGAUGCAGCGACGCCGCGUGAGUGAAGAAGUAAUUCGUUAUGUAAAGCUCUAUCAGCAGGGAAGAAAAUGACGGUACCUGAGUAAGAAGCCCCGGCUAACUACGUGCCAGCAGCCGCGGUAAGACGUAGGGGGCAAGCGUUAUCCGGAUUUACUGGGUGUAAAGGGAGCGCAGACGGCUGUGCAAGUCUGGAGUGAAAGGCGGGGGCCCAACCCCCGGACUGCUCGGGAAACUGUAAAGCUGGAGUGCAGGAGAGGUAAGCGGAAUUCCUAGUGUAGCGGUGAAAUGCGUAGAUAUUAGGAGGAACACCAGUGGCGAAGGUGGCUUACUGGACUGCAACUGACGUUGAGGCUCGAAAGCGUGGGGAGCAAACAGGAUUAGAUACCCCAGUAGUC
rnacentral:rRNA from 1 species